AGUCCAUUAUCCUUCUGUUCAGGUCAGAGCCUAGGGCUUUUGGGAAGGUGCUUGGGAUUUUCAUCUUGUGAUUUUGUUGGAUCUGUGUUUGGUCCAGCUCACCUAAGGUACAGUAAGGGGUCAGAGGGAUCUAUCUUGUGUCUGGGCUGGGGAGCAGUUGUCUUUGCCCUCAGGAUUUGAGUUUGAGGACCUAAAAUAAAAUACUGCUUUCCAAUGACAUGAGAACCACAAGCAUGGUUAAGUCAUUAGAUUAGAAAUGUGGAAGUUAUUCCUCACAAAUGAGGUCAAAGGAAAAGCUCAUUUUGCAUCCAUACUUCUAUCCUUUUGGUUUAGGUUUUUGGAUUAAAAGUUAUAGUGUGGAAGUCUGUACCUUUGUAAUCAGACUGCCAAGCAAGCCUACCUGUGGCAAGGUGGAAAGAGGAAUGGUUUGGAUCCAGUGUAUUCUAGUUUCAUGCUGGCUUUAUCACUAAUCAUAAAAGUUAUAUUUUCAAAAACAGAUGUCACCAGCCUUGCACCCAGGGGUACAUGAUAUGCUCAGAAUUCAGUGUUCUCAUCCAAUUAAUAGUAGUGGAUUUAUAUUGAGCUGUGCAUGUUCCAACCAUACUAGUGUGCAGCAGCACUCAUUUUAUUCCACAAGCAUUUUUUUUGGCCUUAGGGGUACACGGUUCAAGAAGAUACACUCUUCUGAUUUCAAAGAACUUUCAUACUGUUGUGGGAUGAACUGAGUGUUAAUAGUGCAAUGUAAUAAGUGCUACAAAUAGGUACACAUUUUUGAUUUGGGGACAGUAGGUGGGUGAUGGUUCAUAGGGGGAUAGACCUGUGACCUUGGAUGAACUUAGCUAACUGGCCAUAGGUGGACUACAACGAGGGCUUGUUUUAUUCCAGAAAAUAAGGAUAGCUGAAGGUUGGUUAGCCUUGCUGUUGCUGAGAGAGAAAACAACAGGUGAGUGUGGAUUGAGAAGCCCCUCGUGUUGAUCCCUGUUUUGGGCUCUUUGCCAAAGUACUUAUGGUCUAGUUAAUCCUUGCUUGUGGAAUGUAUUAUCUAUGUUGCAGACCCACCUUUGUGUUGUUACAUUACUAUGGGUUCUGUGACGUUUAUUCCUCACGGACAUUUUAUCAGAGUCGCUCACACCUUUUUCAGUUUCUCAUCACUUUUGGAAGAAUUAUCGUGAGGUUGGCUUUAAGUUUAAAACAAGGACAUACUUUUCAAUGACGAGCGGUUUACUAAAAAGAAGGCGUCGGGCACACCUGUUAACACAUGAGUGUCUACUGUGUGCAGUGUAGUUUUAUUCAACACUGCAGCAUGGUGAUUUCUAAGGAGACGUGUCAGUUAUGUGGAAACCUCUCUAGGAAGCGCACAUACCUGGAGUUGCAGAUUUAAUCAAUCUAAGGAAGUCUAGGGUGAGGCCUUAGCCCUGCUAAGUAAGAAACGGUCUAAGAAAUGUCUUAAUUCUGAACUGUGUAACUACAAGAAAAAGGUACUUUUCUCUGUCUGGAUCAUUGAGAGUUGACUAACUUCGGAAGUCAGAAUUCCCAGGAAUGAGUAAGUGUUCUGGAAAAUUGAAAUGUGAAGGUUCUUUGGAUAGCUUCAUAAAAAUAAUUCUAAUUUCUUUGUGCUUGCGCUGGAUUUCUUGAAUUUUAAACUACCUCAUCUUGUCUUUUUAGAAGUUACUUCGGCUUGUCAUUGCCACUCUCACAUCAUGCUUGACUUUGAUUGUUUUCUAACAUGGAAUUUUUUUCUAUGCCUUGACAGCAUGUUCUCUUCUCAUCCUGAUCCUCAUCAUCUCAUAUUGUUCUUCCGUCAGAGAACUGUUUUAAAAUAGUUAGAAAUCUUGGCUUACGGGAAGUGGUCCUCCAAUGCUAUUUGUCUCUGGGAUCAGUAGGAAAGAGUUAAAACAAGGUGGUGAGGGCAGGGGACAGAACCUGCACUGGAGGCAGCUGAGGAGGGAAGAGCCAUUAAUUAAGACAAUUUCCAAGUCAACUGAUUGUGAUCAUUAAUGUCACAAUAGAUCAAAACCUAAUUAUCACAGCCUAGGUAAGAGCCAUCAGUAUUAAUCGGAAAAUCUAAUAGGAAACUAUUAUCAAGAAAUUAGGCUAAAUUGAAUGCAGUGAACUUUUUAUCUUGCCAUUCUGUUUGUGUGUGUGAGAGCGGGCGAGCGAUGUCCCUUGGCAUUGGCAGGUGUGACCCUCAUAGUUGAUCCUAGGUGCCGGUGGCCAGUUCAUCACAGUUUUUGAGGAAUUCCAAACAGACUAAACUGUCAUUUUAAUGUCUUGAACAUUAUCAUCACCUGGGCUUGUCCAGUGUGAUCAGCAAUCAAUGGAAAAAGGUUAAUAUUUAGGUCUUGGUGAUGGUUGGUCCUUCCUGGAAUGAGAGCAUCCCUGGUGGACAUUAUACCGUGUGUAUUGGUAGAUCAUUCUUUGAGCUUCUGAUGUAUGGAGAGUCCUGCUGCUCUGGCUAUUGCAAGGGGGUGCAGAGGGAAAAGAGGGGCAUUCUGCCUGGAGAGUCUUCAAGGAGACCCAAGAAGAUAGAGUUCAGUCAUGUCACAGCACUUUUAAAGUCUGUGUUUUACAGUUUCUAGUAGCUUUAGAAUUUGAUUCUAAACUAGGGCUGACUGUGGUUUUAGUUUUUUUCCUCUAGUUUUAGGAUAAGGGUCAUAAUGAUUACCACCAGAAUCCAGUUGUAAGUCCAGAGAGGGGGGAAGGUUUUCUUUCUUUCAAGCUUUCAUCAAAGAGUUACGCUCCUGUCAGGGUAUUAUUGAAUAUUACAAGAGUCUUACAGCUAGUCCUAGAGAACACUUCAUUCCCCUCUCUGAAUGGAAAACGAGGGGUCACCAUUUAUAUCCUUAAUCUCGAGAGCCAUUCAUGAGGAUCCUGGCAACUCCUGAAGUUAGACUGGUGCAGAAUGGUUGGAAAGAUGCUGCCUUGUGGGCAUUGAGGGGAGGGAUGAGCGGCAGCAGGAGGGGGCUGCGUCCUGCCACCUGGCCUGGCUUAGCCUGGGGAGAGUGCCUCCCAUUGGUGUCACUGCUGCUGCUAGGCCUGCGCCCCCUCCCCCGGCCUUGCGACUCAGGACACCACCGAGACUGGCCCUGGGGAUAGGGUUCUUGCAUUCUUGUUCGAAUGAGGUCUUUUUCUUGGGUUUUAGGAUUUAGGGAUAGGGGUUACUCAGUAUAGAACUUUCACCUCUUUAAGAGAAAGUGUGUAUUUCUUUACAAAAGAAUCAUGCCCUUAAUGCUUAAAAUGUAAUUUUAUUUGCAAAACAUCACUAACACAUGACUUUCAGAAGCAGUUUGUGUCUCCAAGGUUCAUUGCAUUAUGCCCGAUAAACAAUAGGCCCUCUGUUAAUAGUUGUGGGUUGGCUAAAUUCAUCUAGUUUGCAGAGUGAAGUGUACCUGCUGACUUCCUUUUGCAAGCAAAUGCGCUCUUAAGAGGUAAGGUGCCCUAGGGAGUGAAACAAGAUGUGAGUGGAUGCUGACUGUGUGUGCCAACCUCCUCAACUGGUUCAUAAUUGCUGACCUUGGGCAAGUCACUCCUUUCAAUGCCUCAGUUCCCCAUCUGUCAAAUGGGGUUAAUGAUACUGACCUACCUCACAGGGGUGUUGUGAGGCAUUGCAAAUCAAAGUUGGUAGAACACUUUAGGGUCCUCGAUGGAGGAUGCCUUGAGCCGAAGUCUAAAGUCUAGGCCUGACAUAGGCUUCAGUCCUCACUGAGCUGUCCCAAGGUUGGAACUACUAGUGACCUCGGCAAGUUCUCUGCCCCCCACCCCUCCUCAAAGCUGCUAGUUCAGAUGUUGACAGUGUUUUUGUGAAUGUUGGAGUCUUAAUAGUCCAGACGUAGGAUGUUAUGGGGGGAAGGCACUUAGUAUUUUCUAUGUCUUGCAUCCACAAAGAGAGGCUGUCUCAGACCCAGGAGCAUUGGAUUAGGGAACUAUGAGGCAGGGAUGCUACUGCUUGUUUCUCUCUGCAGGUUGGGAAUUAAGGUCCCAUUCCCCAAGGGAUUGGGACAGACUCCAGCUGUCUCGGGAGCAAAGUGAACACAGUGGGCUUAAUUUAUAUCCUUGCUUUUAUCGCGCGCCCCCCCCAACUGAGUCACCGCACCCCCUCUUGCCUCCCUACAGGAACCAGCUGGUUCAAUAAACAUAACCACUUUCCCCGUCCCCUACCAAAAAAAGAGCCAUCUUGGGAAAAAAAAAUUUUUUUAGAGAUAUGUUUAACACUCUUCAAGCUUCAUCUGACUUUACUGUACUCAUUUGUCAUCUUUUUCUGUGUCCACAGUCUGAACCUGACUUUGACCUGUUUUCCCUCCAGUUUGGGAAAACUUUGGACACGAUUUCUAUUUGCCCAGAUGUGGGCUUAGCCAGCUCCUCUUCCCAACAGGGCUCUUUGUCCUUUCCCUCUCCUUGGCCCUAGACGUGUAACCCAUGGAAAAGCACAAGGUUCUGGCCCCUUGCUGUGGUCACAUUCCGGUUCUCCGUGCUUUGUGGACUUUGCUCUAUUCACCCAGCUCGGGCAGCGCCAGGUGGUCCUGUGGAGUUGUGGGGGAUGGAGAGAGCAGUCUGCCUCCUGCCAGGUAGCCAGGAGUUGACUCACCCGUGGCCCGGCAGCUCUGCCGCCCUGUCCCACAGGAUGGGACGUGAAGGACUCAAGAGGCUGGGCUCUCCACACUGUCUCAUCCUGUGUAGGAAAACACAUCACACUUGGUAGCCAGAUUUCUAAGUGGAAAAAUGGGAAAUUGAAUUCUCUAUGGACCUUUUGGUUUGUGGGGGAGUUUUGGUUGUGUUUCUUGGUUUUAGUUCAGCCAAACAUGUCGGCUUUUCAUUUUUUUAUUUUUUUAGGAUAAGUGAUAUAUAUAUGUUCGCCUUUUAAAUGUAAAUGUUUAAAAGUAGGCAAUUUAUGUGUUUCCACAACUGACAUUGAUGCAGACCUCAUUCUCUCCCCCUCUUCCACCCUCCUCUUUUCCCUCUUUUCAUACUCUUGUAUUGGUUCUAAUAAAUGGUU
rnacentral:lncRNA from 1 species